rnacentral:rRNA from 1 species
UACGUAGGGGGCAAGCGUUGUCCGGAUUUAUUGGGCGUAAAGAGCGUGUAGGCGGCCAGGUAGGUCAGCUGUGAAAACUCGAGGCUCAACCUCGAGACGCCGAUGGAAACCAUGUGGCUAGAGUCCGGAAGAGGAGAGUGGAAUUCCUGGUGUAGCGGUGAAAUGCGCAGAUAUCAGGAAGAACACCCGUGGCUAAGGCGGCUCUCUAGUACGGUACUGACGCUGAGACGCGAAAGCGUGGGGAGCGAACAGG